GGAGGCGUGGCAGAGUCUGGUUGAAUGCACUGGUCUUGAAAACCAGCGAGGGUUUUGCCCUCCAGAGGUUCGAAUCCUCUCGCCUCCGCAA
rnacentral:tRNA from 1 species